AAAAAAGAAAAAAGAAAAAAAGAAAAGAAAAAACUAAUAGAUGAAAACAGAAAAAACAAACAAAAAACCGAAUAAUGACAAGAGAAGAAAGAAAAAAAGAAAAGAAAAAACUAAUAGAUGAAAACAGAAAAAACCAACAAAAAACCGAAUAAUGACAAGAGAAGAAAGGUAAAGAGAAAAGAAGAAAAAAGCCAAGUGAAAAAGUAAAGAAUAACUCAAAGGAAGGAGUGGAUGGCAAGAAAUACAGAGAAAGCAAUGCAUAGCAGAGCAAAGGAAAGCAAGGCAAAAUAGCAGCCAGAGCCACGAGAAUCAAGAAGUCAGUGAAGAGCAGGAAAGGAAUGGAGGACUCUGGCCAGAGCUGUGCCCCUGCUUGCCACAGGAGCUGCGCGGGAGGAGAAGAAUGUGGGCCAAAAGGAAUGGAGGACUCUGGCCAGAGCUGUGCCCCUGCUUGCCACAGGAGCUGCGCGGGAGGAGAAGAAUGUGGGCCAAAAGAAAAAGCAUACAAAAAACCGAAUAAUGACAAGAGAAGAAAGGUAAAGAGAAAAGAAGAAAAAAGCC
ensembl:lncRNA